CGCAGAGGUUGCGUGGUCGUGGGAGAGAGUAUUUUGGAGGUUUUUUCCGCAGCUUUGGACCAGGGGUUUGCUGGUUGGAUGCCUAAGCAGCAGGUUUUUGACCCUAAUUAAACUUAUUUAGUGACCUUGGGGACUAGUGAGGAAGGUGCUAUAACCUGAGGGAAGCAAGAAUUUCAGCAGGCUUGCGACCGAGUCUUGGAGUGCUUUUCGCUGACUUAUAGAGGCUUUUAGAGGCUUAACUUGAGGAUCGGAGCCUUGUUGAGCAGUAUAUUGGGAAUUCUUGUGGCUGAUUGGAGCUUCAUAAUAGAGCCAUCUACAGGAGAGGCUAGAGAUCGUGGCAAGGGAG